rnacentral:rRNA from 1 species
AUUGAACGCUGGCGGCAUGCCUUACACAUGCAAGUCGAACGGCAGCACGGGAGCAAUCCUGGUGGCGAGUGGCGAACGGGUGAGUAAUAUAUCGGAACGUGCCCAGUCGUGGGGGAUAACGUAGCGAAAGCUACGCUAAUACCGCAUACGAUCUAUGGAUGAAAGCGGGGGAUCGCAAGACCUCGCGCGAUUGGAGCGGCCGAUAUCAGAUUAGGUAGUUGGUGAGGUAAAGGCUCACCAAGCCGACGAUCUGUAGCUGGUCUGAGAGGACGACCAGCCACACUGGACUGAGACACGGCCCAGACUCCUACGGGAGGCAGCAGUGGGGAAUUUUGGACAAUGGGCGCAAGCCUGAUCCAGCAAUGCCGCGUGCAGGAUGAAGG